UUUUUUUUUUUUUUGCGCUGUUCUGUUCAUGUAGCACAAAUAAGCAUUGCACUUGGUACCAUGCUUUACCUCAUUUCAAGGAAAAAAUGCUUAACAGAGAGGAAAAAUGUGGUUUGGCCUUGCUGCUGUUGUGAUUUACUGAAUUUGAAAAAGAUAAUUAUAAUGCCUGCAAUGUGUCAUUUACUUGCACAACUGAGAUAGGUCAUUUGUAAUGUCUGUGGCAUUUUUACUGUAUGUGGAAAAAAUACAACAAAGAUGUGUAACAACUCUUGAUUGUAUUUUAAAGCUAUUGUCUUUCUACUACAUCAUUUUACUGUUAUGUGAAGUAAUUAAAAUUAGAAUGACCUCUGACACUCCAGUAAUUAUCUCUGAACAAACCAACAUAUUAUGAAUAUAAUGUAGUUUUUGCGAGUAGACAGCCCGUAGUAAUUUGGUCAGCCUGAACUAAAUCUCUGCUCAGUCUGAAUAUUGAGUGCCCAGUAGCGACUUCUGAAGUGUUUGUUCAGCUUGAUGCUGCUAAAGUCCAUACAGAAAAAAAGCCUACUAUCUUUAAGUCUCAUUACACAAUAUUAUGUUGUGACUGCAGAGUACAGAACUUGAACAAGAACCAGUUUCCAUGCUGGGGAGGAAUAUAGUGGUGGCCCAGGGAUAAGGUGCCAGAUCCUCAGCUAGUGCAAAUUGAUGUGGUAUCAUUUUAAUCAAUGGAACUGCAUUCUUUUACAUAUCUGAAGAUCUUGUGUUUGUAUGUAUGUUGCAGAAUUUGGGUUUUUCUCCUUGUAAGGAAAUAGAGAACCAUAAACUGGAAAUGAUGGGUUUUUAUGUUACUGCAUAUGACAUAGCUACGCUACAUGCAUUCAUCUGUAUAGAAGGUGAAAUCUUUGUAUCCCAGUCACAGCAGCACACGUAAUCUGAAAAUGAGGAGUAGCAUUAUGGUCUGCUGUGAUACUGCACUUGCCUCUCUGUGACAGUAUUCUGGGUUUGUAUGUUUUGAGUGGGGAUCUCUACAAAAACAGUCUCAUGGAAAUAUCUGUAUUUAUUACAUGAGUGAAGCAAGAAGGGUUUUAAUUUUUGGUACUUACUGACAUUGGUCCUUUUCCAAUUGCUCUAAUUUUCAAGAAGUUAAUUUCUUUACGUUCAUAUUGGGUUUAAAACUUAAAACACUACAGUUCGUGACCAUGAAAUGUAAUCUAAAUAUCAACUGCAACUCCAUCUCAGUUCUGUUAGCAAAUAUCUAGAGGUCGUAGUAUACUCCACUAGCAGUUAAAAUUAACUUCUGUCAAAGCUGACUACAUUUUUAAGAAAUAAAUUUUAUCCAAUAAAGCCCUUGGGUUUUUUUCCUCUUAUUUGAAUGGCAACCACAGACUACUUUGAUUGCUUUGUAGAUGCACUCAGAAUUUACUGCAGCAGCAAGUUGGAGAGAAAAAAUGUUUGUAAACAAGAAUUGGAAAUUGCAGGCAUUUUUAUUGUAAAUAGUUUGACUGAGAAGAUGGUUAAAAUCAAGUAGAAUGAAUAACAUAUAAUUUGAUGGACAAUAAAAUACUUACCAUCACAUGCUGCAGCUGUCUUUAAGGGACAUAAAAUGUAAUUCAUUCAUACUGUAAUCAUGCUGCAGAAGUUUGCAAUCUGCACCUUAUGGAUCACAAUUACCUUUAAUAGUUUUUUGUAAGAAUUGUAGCUGAGUAUAUCUCCAAUAAAGUUAUGGUCUGUUCACCUUG
ensembl:lncRNA